rnacentral:misc_RNA from 1 species
UAUGAAGAACGCAGCGAAAUGCGAUACGUAAUGUGAAUUGCAAAUUCAGUGAAUCAUCGAGUCUUUGAACGCACAUUGCGCCCCCUGGUAUUCCGGGGGGCAUGCCUGUCCGAGCGUCAUUGCUGCCCUCAAGCACGGCUUGUGUGUUGGGCCCCGUCCUCCGAUCCCGGGGGACGGGCCCGAAAGGCAGCGGCGGCACCGCGUCCGGUCCUCGAGCGUAUGGGGCUUUGUCACCCGCUCUGUAGGCCCGGCCGGCGCUUGCCGAUCAACCCAAAUUUUUAUCCAGGUUGACCUCGGAUCAGGUAGGGAUACCCGCUGAACUUAAGCAUAUCAAUAAGCGAGGA